rnacentral:rRNA from 1 species
AUGCGCAGGUGGGAGGAACGGCGGGAAGAGGGGUGGUGCAGGGGUUAUGUGUAAUGAUGGGGCGUAAAGAGGGUGGAGGGGUGCUGAGAAGGUUGAAGGUAAAGACUACUGCUGAAGCGUAGAACUGCAUCUAAAGCUGUGAGACUAGAGGCGGGGAGGGUAAGAUGGAAUUAGGUGGGUAGGGGUAAAAUCCGUAGAGAUAACUAGGAAUACCAAAAGCGAAGGCGAUCUUCUGGAACAGUACUGACGCUGAGGCGCGAAAGCGUGGGGAGCAAACAGGAUUAGAUACCCGAGUAGUC